GGGCCAGACUCCUACGGGAGGCAGCAGUGGGGAAUAUUGCACAAUGGGGGAAACCCUGAUGCAGCGACGCCGCGUGAGUGAAGAAGUAUUUCGGUAUGUAAAGCUCUAUCAGCAGGGAAGAAAAUGACGGUACCUGACUAAGAAGCCCCGGCUAACUACGUGCCAGCAGCCGCGGUAGUACGUAGGGGGCAAGCGUUAUCCGGAUUUACUGGGUGUAAAGGGAGCGUAGACGGCGAUGCAAGCCAGAUGUGAAAGCCCGGGGCUCAACCCCGGGACUGCAUUUGGAACUGUGUGGCUGGAGUGUCGGAGAGGCAAGUGGAAUUCCUAGUGUAGCGGUGAAAUGCGUAGAUAUUAGGAGGAACACCAGUGGCGAAGGCGGCUUGCUGGACGAUGACUGACGUUGAGGCUCGAAAGCGUGGGGAGCAAACAGGAUUAGAUACCCUCGUA
rnacentral:rRNA from 1 species